rnacentral:rRNA from 1 species
UGGCUCAGGACGAACGCUGGCGGUGUGCCUCACACAUGCAAGUCGAGCGGAUGUUUAUUAGAAGCUUGCUUUUGAUAAACGUUAGCGGCGGACGGGUGAGUAAUACGUAGGAAUCUGCCUCAAGGAGGGGGACAACGGGUCGAAAGAUCCGCUAAAUACCCCAUAUGCGAGCAAUCGUGAAAGGAGUAAUCCACCUAGAGAUGAGCCUGCGCCCGAUUAGCUAGUUGGCGGGGUAAAAGCCCACCAAGGCGACGAUCGGUAGUUGGUCUGAGAGGAUGAUCAGCCACAAUGGGACUGAGACACGGCCCAUACUCCUACGGGAGGCAGCAGUGGGGAAUUUUACGCAAUGGGGGAAACCCUGACGUAGCGACACCGCGUGAGCGAAGAAGCCUUUUGGGGNGUAAAGCUCUGUCAGCUGGAACGAACACAAUGACGGUACCAGCAGAGGAAGCAUCGGCUAACUACGUG